rnacentral:rRNA from 1 species
GAGCGGUAACAGGUGUAGCAAUACAUGCUGACGAGCGGCGAACGGGUGAGUAAUGCUUCGGAAUCUACCCUAUGGUGGGGAAUAACCAGCCGAAAGGUUGGCUAAUACCGCAUACGUCCUACGGGAGAAAGCAGGGGAUCGCAAGACCUUGCGCCGAUGGAUGAGCCGAAGUCGGAUUAGCUAGUUGGUGAGGUAACGGCUCACCAAGGCGACGAUCCGUAGCUGGUCUGAGAGGACGACCAGCCACACUGGGACUGAGACACGGCCCAGACUCCUACGGGAGGCAGCAGUGGGGAAUAUUGGACAAUGGGGGCAACCCUGAUCCAGCGACGCCGCGUGUGUGAAGAAGGCCUGCGGGUUGUAAAGCACUUUUAGUGGGGAUGAAAAGUGCAGAGAUAACACCUCUGCAUCUUGACCUAACCCACAGAAAAAGCACCGGCUAACUCUGUG